rnacentral:rRNA from 1 species
CCAAUAGCGUAUAUUAAAGUUGUUGCAGUUAAAAAGCUCGUAGUUGAAUUUCGGGGUUCUUCCGUUGGUCAGGCUAACCAGUCUGUACUAGCGUGUAGAACCCCUACCUUCUGGGGAACCAUCAUGUUAUUAAUUUAGCGUGGUGGGAAACCAGGACCUUUACCUUGAAAAAAUUAGAGUGUUCAAAGCAGGCUUACGUCUGAAUACAUUAGCAUGGAAUAAUAAAAUAGGACGGUGGUCCUGUUUUGUUGGUUUCUGAAUCACCGUAAUGAUUAAUAGGGAUAGUUGGGGGCAUUAGUAUUCAAUUGUCAGAGGUGAAAUUCUUGGAUUUAUUGAAGACUAACUUCUGCGAAAGCAUUUGCCAAGGAUGUUUUCAUUAAUCAAGAACGAAAGUUAGGGGAUCGAAGACGAUCAGAUACCGUCGUAGUCUUAACCAUAAACUAUGCCGACUAGGGAUCGGACGAUGUUAAAUUUUAUUGACUCGUUCGGCGCCUUACG